CGAUUCAGGUUUUUCAGGGGCAAAGUUCUUCAUUUUGGGGAUAGUGAUGUAGAGGCAGCCAUUAAGAAACUUGGCAUUGAUCGCAGAGAGAAAUGAAUAAUACCUUGGAGAUGGAUUUCGAGAAUUUCGCGAUCUUCGUUGCGUUGCCAUUUGCACAGCGGUUCGAAUUCCUCGUACUGGUCAGCUUUUUUUCCCUCCAUAGUAGGUUUCUUUGUUGAUGUUGUUUUUUGAUCUCUUCUGUUGUUGGAAUUAUUGAUAAAUGUUUAACUUGAGUUGUUCA